rnacentral:lncRNA from 1 species
AAAACAACUUUUCAACCCCUGCAACUUCACGAAUUGAAACUUUGUUUUCUAUAAUUAACAUUGCUAACUUGCAACACUAAACGUAAUAAUCAUGCUCCCACUAACGUGAUGAUUAUCAGCAUAACACUUAUGCUCCCACUAGCUUUGACAUAUUUCCAGGAAUCUGCUGGACUUCUGAAAUUUAGAUUCAUACACCCUUUCUUAGAUAGCUCACAUGUGUGUCUAAGCAAUUUCAAGAACUAUGAAAAGGGAUGCCGUAAUCAUAGUCUCAAUUUCUUAGACCUUUGCCAUUUCUCACAAGUCCAUGUUAGUGUGCCGGUUAACCACACACGCUCCACUAACGACUUUUGAAAAUGCAAAUAACACAAUUGAUAUCUACGUAAAAUCUACUUAGUGAAAGCGUUUCCUCACCAUCAUUUUCAUGAAUCGGAGAGAAACCUUAUGACACUUAGAUUUUAUAGUGUAUGAGUUCCUAUCCAUGUGAAUUUGUCAAAACCAUAAUCACAAGAUAAGGUUAGUGACAAAUUCAGCCUUACAUGGAUUAAACUUGUUCAAUCUUAGUUUCUUGUCACCUUGGUAGCACAAGGCCCACCAAUGCUUCCAAGUUGAACUCUGAUAACUCACAUGCAAAUUCAACUUAUUUGAAGUAGGUACAGAAAUAAGAAUUAUGUCAACACGAUAGGUUGCAAACCUUAAGUCGUGUGCUAGUGAUAAAUUACAGGUUUUACUCUUGAUUAAAUCUUGAAACUCUUUCAGGAUCUUUAAGGCUCCCACUGUCCCCUUGACAUAUAAGUUUCCCCAGUCAAGAACCAUUCCUUGACAAAACAAAUAUUCAAGGGAUAGUGCGGAUUCUUAUCAAGACUAACACUUCACACAAUUGGUCUUAGUUGGUCUUUGUCUCAUCCAAGACAUCACAACUUACCAAUCUCAAAUGUACAAGAGUAGAAAACAUUUUACUCUUACAUUUGACUAGUGUUAAUAAAUCUUCCUUUAUGUCACUCAAAGUUACAAUCUUGGAGUAUGACUCUAAGAAUUGUUUUGGAACGAAGUAUGACUCAUCUUCUUGAUUUUAACCAAUCCAACAAUUCAUGACCUCUCUUCUUAGCCAUAACAAUGCACUAAGACGUCCUUAGAGUAUGAAUUUGUGAUAUGGUUUCAUAAUCAUUAAGAUGAUCAUGAAAUACGAUACUAAAGUACUCUCCCAUCCUUUCAGAUUUGAGAAACUUUUAUCUUUCUGCCUAAUUUGAUUCUUCUCAUUUGUUUUGUCAUACAUUGUAACCUUUCCAAUGUUACAGAAUUAUACUUAACCUCAUAAGUAUAAUCAUAUUUACUAAUCUUUAGUAAAUCAUGACAAAUCAAUCUUUGUGGUGGACCUUGACCAGCGCACACCCAGUGUACCUAAUUCCUUAGUCCUUCAAUUGACUCACAUAUACAUGUGAUCAAAGAAUUAGUCUUAAUUUUCAAAGAUGAAAAUUCUCAUUCAUCAUACAAUACAACUUGUAUGAUUCCAAGUUUCUGUCCAAUUGAAACUUGGGUGAUGAAAAACUUUCUUCAUUUGGUAAAUUCAGACACUACCACAAAUGAAAGAAUCAAAUCCACUUUCCAAUAUUGCUAUUACUGGAAACAUAUAAGCAACAAUUUUCCACAGAUGCCAUUGUAAGGAUAUUUUUAAAAUAAAUAAAAUUAAAACCCUUUUUUUUUUUUUUUUUAAAACUUUGCGGAAAAACUUAUCCUUACAAUCCACAUGAAAACCUUGUUGUUAUCUAUUCAUAAGCAAUAUAUUAUAACUCUUAAGCAACAGCUCAAAAUUCUGAUUACCGAACCAUGCGAUCGAAACCCACCUUCGCAAUCAGAAUCAACAUAUACUUACUUUAAGCUUCCUAUCUUUUCUUUGAUUCUUAAAAACAUCAGCAUGUGACCCAUUCACAUUAUGUAAUAAGAAUCUCCAAAUAGGAACUUAAUAGAGUUAGACAGUGGACUUUACCCGAAGUAGAGUCAAACCUCUUGACUUGAUCAACCUUAUGACCUUUCAGGUGAAUAGGGCAGCUUCGCAACCAAUGCCCCUUCCUUUGGCAACAAAACACAUGGACCCUUUGGUAAUGGCACAUGAGACUAUCUCAGACUUAGCCUUUCUCUUUACCAUUUGGUCAACCGAGUUGACUAUGGCCGAUCCCUUUCCAUUGGGAAGAGAAAUCCUUUUCUAGAUAUCCAAUGCUACCAUUGUCAAUGUCCAUUUAAGACUUGGGAAGUUGUUCUUUUAAUCAAAUUUGCUUUACUGGUGUUCCAAAUCAUUGCUGAUUCCACAACACCAAGCAAAUAGAUAACAUCAUUAAGGGUCAUGUCAUAGUCUGUCUCAUAGUAGUCCCAAAGAGACUCACUAUGUUACUAAGAAAGUGAUUGAACAUCCAACUUUCACGAGACUUUGACACCCAACUCUCCCGGCUUGUCAAUAUGUGACUUUAUCUCCAAGAUGUGAGCACACAUAGACUAUGCUUGCCAAUAGGGAUUGAGUGACUUUAAACUUUUCAAGAACUUGUGGGUGAGGGAGAAUAAUUGGAGGAGGUGGAGGAAGUGAAGCAUGAUGUUGAGGGACACCAUCUUCAAGAGAUUUGGGAAGAUCAUAGUUGUCUGAACCAGACAUCUAUAAUGGGAGAAAAUCAAGUUAGUUGAUUCAAAGUCCUUAAUAUAACACCCAAUAUGAAAUAUUAAGGCUAGGACCCAACACAAUAUUUUAUAAUUUGGAAGAGGGAUGCCGUAAUCCAAGCUAUAAAAUAUUUGAAGGUAGGCGAAUGACGAUUCACCAAUUUCCACCAUGAAAAACGAAAUAAUUUAUUAGGUUUUAAUUGGAUUUGAAAUUCCUAGAUCUUUUGAGAUUCAUUGAACUUUUCAAUGGCAUGUUUCAAUCUCGAGUGUGCCCUCUCAAAUUUUGUGACUGGGAUGCCGAGGAUCACAAAACAAGGUGUGAAUAACCAUACCAAUUCACUUGGUACCCUUAAUAUUAUCACCUAAUCAAUGUGCCGGUUAACCACACACGCUCCAUUGAUCUAUGACAAACAUUAAGUCACCCUUCGUGAUCCUUACUAGUCCAAGUUAGUGUGCCGGUUAACCACACACGCUCCACCAACGACUUGGUAAGGUACAAAGUGUGAAUUCCAUGGGCUAGCACCAAAUUCACAUUUUUCCUAAAGUAACUAAGAUUGGGAAUUAAAUAAAAAAUUUUUAGUUACUUUAUAAUAAUCAUUAUACUUUUAAUGAGAAUUUAAAGUCAUUGUCCUACCCGUUCGGCUAACGACCCUCCACCGAUCAAGCAAGCGGUGGGUGAGAGUGGACACCCAUUAAGUCGCCAUUUUAUAGGCAACAACCUUAUACCCACCUUAUAGACCGGCUUCGUGAAUGAGGCCUACUAACGGUAAAACGACUUGUUCUUAUACAUAUAUAUAAUAAUUAACCAUUAAUGUUAUAAAUAGUAUAAGUGUUGAAUUUUAACUUUUAAAACUCUAAGUGUUGGAAUUAAAGUUUAUUAAAGUGUGUGAAACUUUUCAAAUUCCAAAACUUGAGGGCAAGUUUUGUAACUAUCCAAAACUUUUCAUUUCAUAACUUAUGAAUUAAAGGUUCAUAAAAAUGAAGACUCUUCAUUUUCAUGUAACUUAUGUGUUUAAAUGUGUGUGUUAAAGAAAAGUGACCUUUGGAUAUCCAUAACUUGAGGACAAAUUAUGGACUCCAUUAAAACACAUAAAUGAUCAAGAAUUAAUUCUAAACAAUUCAGCAAAUAAUUCCUAUCAUCUUCUAAAUUCAUAAGAACAUGAACAUGAUCAUCAAAAUUUCAAGAAUUAUAUGAACACAUAAAAAUCAUGGAAUUUUGAUAUAUGCUAUUGUAAAUGGAUUAGAACAACCAUUACACCAACUAAAACAAGUUUUAAAACACCAAAACAGUUUAGGGUAAUGUUUCUAGUCCAUUUCCAGCAGCAAAAGUCGAAAUUCUGCAUUCUGAUCAUUCUACUCGCCGAGUGCACGAACCUACUCGCCGAGUAGGAUGAAUUUUGCCUUGAACUCGGCGAGUCCCCCCAUGGACUCGGCGAGUCCAUCAGCCAGACAGCAACAAUUUCAACUUUUUUCACUAUUUUGCAUCAAGUAUCAAACAAGCAAGCCUAGGCUCUGAUACCACUGUUGGGUUUUGAGCAAUCUAACACUUCCUAAGUGUGCAUGCAACCCUAAUAAACCUUGGAUCUAUGUUUGUCUAAAUACAUGCAAAAUAAUAAUUUUCCAAGGUUCAUAACCUAUCUAACAUGGCAUGGGGAACAUUUCAACAUAAAAGAGUUAGAAGAGAUUACAUACCUUUUUGAUGAGUUUGGUUCUUAAGGAGUUUGAGGGCCAAGCACCAAUAGUGUGAAUGCCUCAAAUGGAAUCACAAAACACCACAAACUCUUGGAAAACUUUGAGAGAGUAUACACACUUGUAUUUUUGGCCACACACAAGCACACACACACUAGUUCACUAGUUGCCAUUUCAUGCUCCAUAAGCAUGCUUAUAUAGUGUGCAUGGUUAGGGUGAAACCCUAAUAACCCAUGACCUUUCCUUUUCCAAGGAUCCAUGGGUUAAAAGCUCCAUGGAUCAUCCAUGGACUUCCAUAUAAGCCUAGCCCAUUAACAAAUGAGUGUUAGCCCACACCAUAUAAAACCAAUAGCCCAUAAUCUAAUUAGUCUUCCUUUUAAUCUCUAAAUUAAUUCAUAAUUAAUUUAAGACUAAGACUAAUUAAAUAACAUAACUUCAUAUUAAUAUAUUAUAACUUAUAAUAUAUUAAUAAACAUAUGUGUAUAACUCUCAUAAAAUUAUCCAUAAAUAGUUCGGGUGAGAUGCAACCCAAAUGGACCAUGCCGGGUCGGGUCAAGUAUAUACCAAAUAAGUUAUGGACUUAGACACCUUAUCCAACAGACUCCCACUUGGAUAAGUCUAAUAACUAUAUUUGCGUAUGUUACUUCAGGAACCAACCAGCAAUCGUAGCUCUCGAAAACUCUGUUGAACUAUGAAGCGCCAUUUUAGAUAAGUGAUCAUAUAAUCCUCUGUUCUCAUGAUAUCAGCCGGACAAAUACAUGGAACAACGUCGUACUUAUUGUCCAGCAGUUUGUUUCCCGAUUUUCGAUUUGUUUGACAAAGAACUUAAUCGAACACAUCAAUUUAGUUCUGACCGGCCGGUACAUAGGUCACAACAAAAUCAUCGAGGGGCCCAGAUAUCGCUUCUAUUUCUAGAAGGAACAGAUAAACUUCGACUCAUAUGCUUGUUCUACUACUUGUUGAAUUGUACACAAAGGCACGUUUUAUAACAUCAAGUUACUGAUGCGUUUACGUGCAAUCAAUGCACAACCAACUCAUAGGUAACAACUCAUAUCUCUAGGUUUGAAGAUUUAUAUGAUAUUACCGUCUCACGAUCACUCGAGAUAAAUUCCAUGAAGUGAUACAAGUGAGCGUGGGUUUAUUCCAAUACUCAUAACUUAUGAGCACUCAUGAAUGUUGUAGCAACCAUUGCUAUGACUAAACCCAUUUAGCCAUCUACAAACUCGAUUCAUGACAGUCUUGAUUCAUACCUACUUCCAACAUAUGAACGACUGUGGAGUGUUUAAAUAACUUAGUCAUUCGGAAAGAAUAACCUAGCUAUUUUGGAAGUCAAAACAUGCAAAGUGAAACACAAUAAUAAUCGAAUCCAAUAUGGUCUCAGAACCCUUUUGAAUAUAAAUAGAACCACCUUUUAUUUAUCACCAUAUUGAUUACACAUUAUUCAUUGUAUAAUGUUUCAAACAAUCAACUUAAGACUUGAAUAAAAACAACAGUCGUCCCAUGCUCCUAGCAUGUACACUUUGUUUUUCUAAACAAUAGUUAUGCCAUACUCCAAGUAUGCACACUAUGUUUGUCUAUGAUCCUUACAUUGUGAUGUAGAUCAAUUGAACAUGAUUCCAAUGAUACUCAUUUCACAAUCCCAAAUCCUUAUUGUAAAUGUGAGAAUCCCCGAUUCCUAUCAUUUACCAAAAAAUCUGUUAGAUUUUAAACUUUUAUGCAAUGUUCCUCUUGUAAUGAUUAUGCACAAAGUCACCAAAACCUUGUCACCAGUCAUUACAGAGUAUUCCAAAGAAGGUCAACUUCUAUGGAACGGAAGUCUCAUAUUCAAAGUACAUUGCUUUGAACAUCCUUCUUGCAUUAAGGUUUUCUAAUCUUACAUAGAUUGAAUAACUUCCACCUAUGGAGACAUUUCCAUAGUCCCAUUUUGACUAUCACUUCCGAACAAGAGUUACUUCUUUUCAGAAUAUGUCAAUAUGGUCCUUUCCGACAACUUACAUCAUACUUCCAACUUUCCCUGAGCAACCAAUCUUUGGCGAACCUCAGAUUGUCCUCGACAAUUGCUUAAUCACUUUAGUCAUAUCCAGUUCUAGACUUUUCCCUUCUCAAUGCCUUAAGCAUUUGGAAAAUUUAGAAAAGAUGAAUAUUAUAGCACAUGCAAUCGAUCCUAUAUCCGAAGCAUAUGGGACACGAUUCAUGAUGUUUGACAUAAAGACAUGAUACUAGACCAGUCUUUUGCUACAAUAUUUUUUAUUUGCCAUGUUUUCAAAAUUUAACUAUGAAGAGGGAUGCCGUAAUCAUAAUCGAAUUUUGAAAACGCAAUAUAUAUAGAAUUUCUUCAAGUUGAACCAUUCCAACAUAAAAUUCAUAUAUAUAUUCUUGACUAAAGAUGAUUAAAAUCUCAAUCUAAGCUUUAGAAUUGAAAUGAAGUAUAAUUUCCUCUCCCUUAAUUAUAGCAAAACAACUUUUCAACCCCUGCAACUUCACGAAUUGAAACUUUGUUUUCUAUAAUUAACAUUGCUAACUUGCAACACUAAACGUAAUAAUCAUGCUCCCACUAACAUGAUGAUUAUCAGCAUAACACUUAUGCUCCCACUAGCUCUGACAUAUUUCCAGAAAUCUGCUGGACUUCUGAAAUUUAGAUUCAUACACCCUUUCUUAGAUAGCUCACAUGUGUGUCUAAACAAUUUUCAGAACUAUGAAAAGGGAUGCCGUAAUCAUAGUCUCAAUUGCUUAGGCAUUUGCCAUUUCUCACAAGUCCAUGUUAGUGUGCCGGUUAACCACACGCGCUCCACUAACGACUUUUGAAAAUGCAAAUAACACAAUUGAUAUCUACGUAAAAUCUACUUAGUGAAAGCGUUUCCUCACCAUCAUUUUCAUGAAUCGGAGAGAAACCUUAUGACACUUAGAUUUUAUAGUGUAUGAGUUCCUAUCCAUGUGAAUUUGUCAAAACCAUAAUCACAAGAUAAGGUUAGUGACAAAUUCAGCCUUACAUGGAUUAAACUUGUUCAAUCUUAGUUUCUUGUCACCUUGGUAGCACAAGGCCCACCAAUGCUUCCAAGUUGAACUCUGAUAACUCACAUGCAAAUUCAACUUAUUUGAAGUAGGUACAGAAAUAAGAAUUAUGUCAACAC